GAACUANGCGGCGUGGAUUAGGCAUGCAAGUCGAGCGAGAAACCUUUUUUUGCUUGCAUUAAAAGGUGGAAAGCGGCGAAAGGGAGAGUAACGCGUAGGUACAUACCCCCAGGUCUGGGAUAGCGGCGGGAAACUGCCGGUAAUACCGGAUGAUGUCCCUGGACCAAAGGUGAGAUUCCGCCUGGGGAGUGGCCUGCGUACUAUUAGCUUGUUGGCGGGGUAAUGGCCCACCAAGGCAAAGAUGGUUAGCGGGUGUGAGAGCAUGGCCCGUCUCACUGGGACUGAGACACUGCCCAGACACCUACGGGUGGCUGCAGUCGAGAAUCUUCCGCAAUGGACGCAAGUCCGACGGAGCGACGCCGCGUGUGGGAUGAAGGCCCUCGGGUUGUAAGCCACUGUCAGUGGGGUGGAAAUGCUGUGGGGUUAUCCCCAUGGUUUGACCUAACCGCAGAGGAAGUCCGGGCUAAGUACGUGCCAGCAGCCGCGGUAAC
rnacentral:rRNA from 1 species